AUUUUAUAUCUCUCUUAAAGGAAGAUGAAAAUUUAAUUAAUAAUAUAUUUUUAUAUAUUGUUAAUAAAAAUUUUUCGCACUCCUAGGGCGCUUGUUUCACGCUUUGCGUGUCAAUGCGCACCUAGAGCGUACACGCUGAUACCCGAAAGAUGGUGAACUAUGCCUGGCCAGGACGAAGCCAGGGGAAACCCUGGUGGAGGUCCGCAGCGAUUCUGACGUGCAAAUCGAUCGUCGGAGCUGGGUAUAGGGGCGAAAGACCAAUCGAACCAUCUAGUAGCUGGUUCCCUCUGAAGUUUCCCUCAGGAUAGCUUGCGCUCGGUUGAGAAGAGUCUCAUCCGGUAGAGCGAAUGAUUAGAGGCAUUGGGGUCGAAACGACCUCAACCUAUUCUCAAACUCCAAAUAGAUGAGACCCCCGGCUUUCUUAAAAUGAAG
rnacentral:rRNA from 1 species